rnacentral:rRNA from 1 species
GAUGAACGCUGGCGGCGUGCCUAAUACAUGCAAGUCGAGCGAACGGACGAGAAGCUUGCUUCUCUGAUGUUAGCGGCGGACGGGUGAGUAACACGUGGAUAACCUACCUAUAAGACUGGGAUAACUUCGGGAAACCGGAGCUAAUACCGGAUAAUAUUUUGAACCGCAUGGUUCAAAAGUGAAAGACGGUCUUGCUGUCACUUAUAGAUGGAUCCGCGCUGCAUUAGCUAGUUGGUAAGGUAACGGCUUACCAAGGCAACGAUGCAUAGCCGACCUGAGAGGGUGAUCGGCCACACUAGAACUGAGACACGGUCCAGACUCCUACGGGAGGCAGCAGUAGGGAAUCUUCCGCAAUGGGCGGAAGCAUGACGGAGCAACGCCGCGUGAGUGAUGAAGGUCUUCGGCUCGUAAAACUCUGUUAUUAGGGAAGAACAUAUGUGUAAGUAACUGUGCACAUCUUGACGGUACCUAAUCAGAAAGCCACGGCUAACUACGUG